AUUUAUUGCUUGUAGGGACAUUGUUGUUUCCAUGAAUCUUCAUGGACGGGCAUGUGAAGUUGGCACCCGGCGUGACAUGCGCACGCUCAAACCAGGGUCGUGGCUAUCCGACACUCCAAUCAACUUGGUGGUGGUGCAAUUGACUAAUCGACAGAGGGAUUUACACAAUGACGGGAGGCACACUGAUUGGUUCUUUCCCGUAUAUCUGUCGACUAUGAUUCUAAAUAAAGAUAUGCAACCUCUAGACCAUGAACAUAUUGUC